UACGUAGGAUCCGAGCAUUAUCCGGAGUGACUGGGUGUAAAGAGUUGCGUAGGUGGUUUGUUAAGUAGAUAGUGAAAUCUGGUGGCUCAACCAUUCAGGCUAUUAUCUAAACUGGCAGACUCGAGACCGUUAGGGGUAACUGGAAUUUCUAGUGUAGGAGUGAAAUCCGUAGAUAUUAGAAAGAACACCGAUAGCGUAGGCAGGUUACUGGGACGGUUCUGACACUAAGGCACGAAAGCGUAGGGAGCAA
rnacentral:rRNA from 1 species